rnacentral:tRNA from 2 species
GCAGGUGUGGCAGAGUAGCUAUGCAGCGGCCUGCAAAGCCGUGGACCAGGGUGCAAAUCCCUGUACCUGCU